rnacentral:rRNA from 1 species
GAUGAACGCUGGCGGCGUGCCUAAUACAUGCAAGUCGAGCGAACGGACGGGAAGCUUGCUUCUCUGAUGUUAGCGGCGGACGGGUGAGUAACACGUGGAUAACCUACCUAUAAGACUGGGAUAACUUCGGGAAACCGGAGCUAAUACCGGAUAAUAUUUUGAACCGCAUGGUUCAAAAGUGAAAGACGGUCUUGCUGUCACUUAUAGAUGGAUCCGCGCUGCAUUAGCUAGUUGGUAAGGUAACGGCUUACCAAGGCAACGAUGCAUAGCCGACCUGAGAGGGUGAUCGGCCACACUAGAACGGAGACACGGUCCAGACUCCUACGGGAGGCAGCAGUAGGGAAUCUUCCGCAAUGGGCGAAAGCCUGACGGAGCAACGCCGCGUGAGUGAUGAAGGUCUUCGGAUCGUAAAACUCUGUUAUUAGGGAAGAACAUAUGUGUAAGUAACUGUGCACAUCUUGACGGUACCUAAUCAGAAAGCCACGGCUAACUACGUG